UACGAAGGGGUGCAAACGUUGCUCGGAAUUAUUGGCGUAAAGCGCACGUAGGCGGCUUAGCAAGUCGGAAGUGAAUCCCUCGGCUCAACCAAGGAAGUGCUUUCGAACUGCUGAGCUUGAGUACGAAAGAGGAGUCGCGGAAUUCCCGGUGUAGAGGUGAAAUUCGUAGAUAUCGGGAGGAACACCAGUGGCGAAGGCGGACGAUCUGGUCGAGUACUGACGCUGAGGUGCGAAAGCGUGGGAGCAACAGGGAUUAAGA
rnacentral:rRNA from 1 species